AGCGAACGCUGGCGGCAGGCCUAACACAUGCAAGUCGAACGCCCGGGGCAACCCGGGAGUGGCAGACGGGUGAGUAACGCGUGGGAACGUACCCUUCGGUUCGGAAUAACCCAGGGAAACUUGGGCUAAUACCGGAUUCGUCCGUGAGGAGAAAGAUUCAUCGCCGAAGGAUCGGCCCGCGUGAGAUUAGCUAGUUGGUGGGGUAACGGCCCACCAAGGCUAUGAUCUUUAGCUGGUCUGAGAGGACGAUCAGCCACACUGGGACUGAGACACGGCCCAGACUCCUAUGGGAGGCAGCAGUGGGGAAUAUUGGACAAUGGGCGCAAGCCUGAUCCAGCCAUGCCGCGUGAGUGAUGAAGGCCUUAGGGUUGUAAAGCUCUUUCGGCGGGGACGAUAAUGACGGUACCCGCAGAAGAAGCCCCGGCCAACUUCGUGCCAGCAGCCGCGGUAAUACGAAGGGGGCUAGCGUUGCUCGGAAUCACUGGGCGUAAAGCGCACGUAGGCGGGUUGCGUU
rnacentral:rRNA from 1 species